ACACGUCAGUUCAACAAAACAAAACCCCGGCAUCGAGCCCUCCUCCACCCUGCCCGGGGCGCAGAGAAAAGGGAUUUUGUGUGUUUCUUCCGUGCUGUCGACCCAACUACUGAUCUGUGUUCGUUUUUCGUGCCUAAAGCUACCCAGGCAGGGUGUGUGGUCGGCUGACUGUGUGCUGUGCGUUAUUAUCGUCCCGUAGCGAAUCCAGAACCAUCGACAAAGAGGGCAACGUGGAAUAAUCGUUUCUCGUACACCUCCAAAGAAACAAUACACGUGUCCGUGAUGCGACAUUCGAGAGCGAUUGUGGCCAGCCUGCUGCUCGUGGCCCUGCUUCCAACGCUAUCCCUCGGGGACAUACCGAAACCACCCUCGCUGUCCGCCGGAGGAGGCACCAAGAAGGACAAACUUAAGACUGAAAAACUGCCCCCCUGCAAGGCGUGCACCGUGCUGGUGAAUUCGUUCCGCGACGGCAUCAAGCGAACGGAACGGGCCAAGCACGAUGGUGGCGAUGCGGCGUGGGAAGAGGAACGGUUGGGCAGCUACAAAACCAGCGAACUGCGGCUGGUCGAGAUCCAGGAGCGGCUCUGCACGGACAUAGUGCGGGGUGAGGACCAGUGCCAUCAGCUGGCGGAAGACUACGAAACGCAGAUAGAGGAGUGGUGGAAAAACCAUCAAACCACCCAGCCCGAUCUGCACCGGUGGCUGUGUGUGGAGCAGGCCGCCGUCUGCUGUCCGGACGGAUUCUACGGCCCGAACUGUGAUCCGUGCCCGACCUGCUUCGGCAACGGGAAAUGUAAGGGCAACGGCACCCGCAAGGGCAAUGGGAAGUGUGCCUGCGACGAGGGAUACACGGGUGACAACUGUGAUAGCUGCAGCGAGGAGCACUAUCAGGCAUUCCGGGACGAGACGAAGCUACUGUGCAGCCGGUGCCAUAAGGCGUGUGCGGCCGGCGGCUGUACCGGGGCCGGGCCCAACUCGUGCCGGGUUUGUCGCAGCGGCUGGGUGAUGGACAGUGCCCGCGGUGGCUGUGUGGAUGUGGACGAAUGCAUUAAGGAGGCUCCAUGCACGAAGCAGCAGUUUUGCGUGAACAAUGAAGGCUCGUACAGCUGUUUGGAGUGUGAUAAGUCGUGCGAUGGCUGUAAUGGCGAUGGUCCAGAUUUGUGUGAAAAAUGUGCCGAAGGAUACGAGCUGCGGGACGGAAUGUGUACAGAUACGUCCAACGAGAAGCGCAACCAGUACGCCACCUUUACGCGCUACCUCACCUACCUCGGUCUGUGCAUUGCCACGUGCAUCGUGCUACAGAACUCGACCUGGCUGGCGGCGCUGGUCGGUCUGGCCGUCGCGGUUUACAUUUCCGUUUCGGAGUACUGGCUCAACACGGCCCCGCAGCAACCGGCGGCACCUUCGCCGCGGAUUUUAGACGAGAUUCUACAGCAGCAUUAAAAAUAGAACAACUUCCACUCGGCGUGUGCUUGUAUAGAGCACACCCAUGCAUGAUUCGCCGAGGUACACGUGGGACGGGAAGGGCUCAAUUUUAUCUUCGACACUUUUAUGAAAGAAGGUUGUGCGGUUAUUUUUGGUGCUGUCCUAGGACAACCAUUUUUAGUUCCGAGAUUCGCAAAGCAAAGUGUUGGUGUUGAUUGGAUAAAUCAGACUUAUGGAAUCGUCUCUUCCACGCGCAUUAAACUUUUAAGAGCAAGCGAAUCCUUUCUCUACGACUAAUUAAUCAGAACAAAAGAUCCAUGGCACGGCAUCGUUGGCCAUUAUGUCUGAAAUGAUGAGUGAAUGAGUGAAACAAUGUGCAUAGGGGUGACAUUUUAGGUAAAACGAAUAAAAUAAACUCGUAACAGUAACAGAAACUCUCCCAUACUUUGCGUCAUCGGAUGAGACGGGCGUGCCGGAACAACAGAUGGAUCCGCCUAGCUUCUCUUCAACUCGGGAAGGCGAGCCCC